GUACACUCCUGCGGGAGGCAGCAGUGGGGAAUAUUGCACAAUGGGCGCAAGCCUGAUGCAGCCAUGCCGCGUGUAUGAAGAAGGCCUUCGGGUUGUAAAGUACUUUCAGCGGGGAGGAAGGCGAUAAGGUUAAUAACCUUGUUGAUUGACGUUACCCGCAGAAGAAGCACCGGCUAACUCCGUGCCAGCAGCCGCGGUAAUACGGAGGGUGCAAGCGUUAAUCGGAAUUACUGGGCGUAAAGCGCACGCAGGCGGUCUGUCAAGUCGGAUGUGAAAUCCCCGGGCUCAACCUGGGAACUGCAUUCGAAACUGGCAGGCUAGAGUCUUGUAGAGGGGGGUAGAAUUCCAGGUGUAGCGGUGAAAUGCGUAGAGAUCUGGAGGAAUACCGGUGGCGAAGGCGGCCCCCUGGACAAAGACUGACGCUCAGGUGCGAAAGCGUGGGGAGCAAACAGGAUUAGAUACCCCAGUAGUCCCAU
rnacentral:rRNA from 1 species